UAUGACACAAACGAGACAUCGUGGACUUACAACACAACAAAGCGCACAAUUCAUCUCUGUGUCGGGGACACAACCUAUAAUAUAACGGACAACAAUGUUACAUAUAUUAGGCAUUCCAAACAAGGUGACAGUGAAGUUAACGCAACGCUCACGGGGAAAUUUUUUCAUAAGUGGAAGCGCCAAAACGAACACAGAAGCCACAUGGGAGACCAAUACAACGCUAUGGAUGUAUAUGAAGAUGGAGAAUACUGGUGGACUGAGAGACUUGAAUAUAUGAGCUCAGACAGAAAGUGUGGAGUGUUCACUGUCGUGGUUCCUCUGGGCA